UACAGAGACCUCAAGCGUUAUCCGGAAUCAUUGGGCGUAAAGCGUACCGAUAGGUGGUUUAGAAAGUCAGAAGUGAAAAUCUUAAAGCUCAACUUUGAGACUGUCUUUUGAAACUUCUAAACUAGAGGGGCAAAGAGGAAGCUGGAACGAACGGUGUAGUAGUGAAAAUGCGUUGAUAUCGUUCGGAACACCAAUAGCGUAGGCAGGCUUCUGGGUGCCACCUGAC
rnacentral:rRNA from 1 species